rnacentral:lncRNA from 1 species
AUUCUUUAAUAACAAUCUCUUGUCUAUGGUAUUCCAAAGUGAAGACCAUGAGGAUGCUCAAGAUGAACCUGCAUCUCAUUCACAAGGCAGGGGCACAUAUAUGAAUAUGUAGAUGAACCUAGACCUAGGCCCAUUAGGCAUCGGGCCAAGCACACGAUCUCUCUACAAAGCACCUUGAUUCACGGUGGCAACACUAAAAAUCUGUAGCUGGACCUAGACCUAGGCCCAUUAGGCAUGCAGCCAAGCACACGAUCUCUCCAUAGAGUAUAUCCACAAUGGCAACAUUGAACCUAUACAAGCGAGGCAGCAAGGUAUGCUAUGCUGCCUCACAUGCCCAUGUGUACAUCUCUCCUAUGUUCCAUGGAGAUAAAAAAAAUGAAAGAUCCAUGGGGCCUAAGUGUCUAACUACCUAAGUGAGAAGGGUGACCCUUGCGAGAAGGUAGCUAAGAUGUUUUGCGACUUGAGAGUGCUCCAACUUCUAAUCUUUAUCUUGCUCUUAUAUGCGUGCAUCUUCCAUGGGAGCUCAUACUUAACUUUCUCUGUCAUGGUGCCAGAAGUGCAUCAAUGGGUGGUGCAUUUAGUGUGACAUAUUUGCUAAGCUUUUACACAUAAUCGAGAGAGCUAAAACUCAUUUAAUCUUCAUAUUAAAUUCUUAAUAUAUUAUUGCAACUAACAUGACUUUUUUCUCGCUCACAUUUUUGUUUCUGCCUGAAAAGUAUAGUGGACCAAGGAGAGUGGUGAUCAACAGUGAACACAUGGUCGGUGCAAACGGUAGGGACAAAAUUAAACCAGAAACCCUAAUGACAAAGCCACGCACACUGAGAUCACAUGGGUAAUCACAACUCCCGUUGACGUGAAACACAAUGCAUAUGCAGCACUUUAUGUUUUUUUUAAAAAAAUAUCGAGACAAGGUCUUUAAAGUCAAUGUCAAAAUAAACAUAACAGCAUUUACAUCUCGAUGAUUGUUAAAAUACACAUAACUGUUGGUUGGUCGCCAUGUCGCAUGAGCUGCCUAUUGCACCACACUUUUUGUCCCUAUCCAUCAUGCUCUGAGGUGCAUCGUGGGUGACCCAUGCAUGGGUGUUGCACGCAAGUUUUUACCUGGUUUUAAAACAAGCAACGACCCCUGCCCCUCUUGCAGUGUUUGACCUAGGACAUAGGUAUCCAUUCUUUUCAACAAAAAUAGUGCUAUUAUCUGACACAUACACAUCUUGGAUUGCAGCAGAUUGUUGGUGAUGCUCCCGACUGCCUCUACAGUAGCCAUUUGUAGUAGUCUGAUCAGACAAUGCACAAGGACAGCUAGCACCAUCUCCAGAUGCCCCGCACUCCUAUAGGACAACGUAUAGCUCCCAAUGUAUGGAACCGUGUAGGCGAUGUCGUGCUGAGCUGAUGAUAGAUGAUGGAAGGAUACAACUUCUGAUCCCAAGUAGCUAAACCUUUAUGACUCAUGUUGCAAACUUCAUAGUUUUGGUCUUAUAUAGAGGGCGUAUACUGCUCAUGGGAACCCGGAAAUUAUAACCUUGCUCUGCGCCAGAGGCACAGAAGUAAAAGUAGUUUUUGUAGCGAGUCACAAUAACACAAAGGAUAUACCUUUAUCAGUGAUAUGGAAUUGAAACACAUCAUUAAUGUAAAAUCAGUGACUCAGGUAAACAAAACAUGUUACUCAGG